UCCACCCAGAAGACAAGCCAGGCUGGAGCCCCUCCUGUCGGUGAGCGGCCCAAGGGCCCCAGCGGCCUCUGCAAGUCCUCCAGAGUCAGUCCUCUGCUAGUCCUUGCUGUGCCGGCUCCUGACGCCUACAACAGCAACCCAGCCGGGAUCUCCACCCAGGAGACAAGUCAGACUGGAGCCCCUCCUGUCGGUGAGCGGUCCAAGCGGCCCAGCCUCCUCAGCAAGAUGGUGUCCUCCAUGGCCAAAGCCAUUGGAAAGACCUUCACUCCCUCCGCCCCCUGCACAACCCUUUUGUGACGGCUUCCUAACCCCCUAACCCAGGCCGAUCUAACUCGUAGCCUGGAUUACUAAUUAGGAGGUGAGUCUGGCACAAUCGCCACCAAAACGGCUCCAGGCACCCAAGCCUGCCAUGACUUUGCUGAUGCCCCUCAGCUCUAACACACUAGCGCUCUCUAAAGUCCAAAGGUAGGGCGGUUGUCUGUGGCUGGUUGUCAGCGAAGCGUUGCCAAGAGAAGGAAAUGAAUUGGCUGAGGCCAAGACCAGACAGUCUUUGGCCUCUGCCCCAGCCUCAGGGGCUGGACUAUCUCGGGCUGCUGCAUCCUGAGGCAUCUCCGCCUAGAAGUCUGGGAGCCCUUCCCAGUGGGGAGCGACGCAGGUGCCCCACCACCAUCCCCAGGAUGGCUCCUUGAACCCCAUCUUUUGAGGAAUUGGAUGAUGCCGGACCCAUGACAACCCUGCUGAGGCUCAAGCCCAGGUCUUUGGCUUUGCCCCUUCUGCCUCCCUGAAGCUAUUGACUAAAAAAGGGGUCAAGUCAGUCCUCUGCUAGUCCCCGCUGUGCCGCCUCCUGACACCGACCACAACAACCUAGCCGGGUUCUCCACCCAGAAGACAAGUCCGACUGGAGCCCCUCCUGUCGGUGAGCGGCCCAAGCGCCCCAGCAGCCUCCGCAAGAUGCUGUCCUCCAUGGCCAAAGCU